rnacentral:rRNA from 1 species
UGGCGGACGGGUGAGUGACGCGUGGGUAACCUGCCUCAUACAGGGGGAUAACAGUUGGAAACGGCUGCUAAUACCGCAUAAGCGCACAGUACCGCAUGGUACCGUGUGAAAAACUCCGGUGGUAUGAGAUGGACCCGCGUCUGAUUAGCUAGUUGGUGGGGUAACGGCCUACCAAGGCGACGAUCAGUAGCCGACCUGAGAGGGUGACCGGCCACAUUGGGACUGAGACACGGCCCAA